CACUGAUUUAGAGCCUGGAUUUAUAGCUGUGCUGCUAUUUGUAAUUUGGCGAUCACAGAAAGUUUAGGCAUCUUUUGCUAAUGCCCAUCUUUAGCUCGGGGGUCUAGGGACAGCACUGCACCAAGGGACAGGGGCCAGACAAGAACAAUCUCUGUCAUUUGACUAGAAUGUCUUUGGAAUCUGAAAUCUUUCCAGGGAGAACUUGUUAUUGAAUGCCUGCUUUGCCUUUAUUGGGGAAAACGCACGCAUCUUGAACAAUAAAAUGGUAAUGCUCACCACCAGAGACCAGACCUUGUGAAUGUUCUCUGAUGCCUAGUAGGACCAUUGCAGAGAAAAAUAUUAAUGAGACUGUUGCUAGGAGAUGGGAGAGCCAAAGACCAUGGCUUGGUAGGGGUUUCACUGGAAAGCAAGGCAAUUUAGCUAAUCCCUUCUUCACAGCACAGCUCAUUUUCCAGCAGCCGCUGCAGCUCUUCCCCCCACCCCUUCAGUGCGACAACCUCCGAGCUGGUGGAGAGGCAGAGCGAAGGCAGCUGGUAAGUAGCGGAGAAAUCUUUUGUAACAUAGAUAUCCGAAACGUUUUUUUUUUUUUUUUUUUUUAAUAGCAAGCGACAUGUUUUGACGGAUCAAAAUAAUACAUAACUGUGGAGGAAUUUCUGAUUUUAAUCCAUGGCAUUGAGAAAAUGGCUUAAUUCAAUUCUAAACAUUCCACGGUCACUUUUCUAGUUUAAAGCUCGUUUCUGAAAAAGUGAAUGAAUUUUUAGAAGGAAGUAUAGAAACUUCCCUCUUGUGAUUCUGGUUAAGAUAGUACCUCAAAGAGGACUCGAUGAAGAUGUUAUUGAAAUGAGAAAUUGCGUUGGGAAUGCUAUGGCAGCUUUAGGAUGUUUGCAUUAGAUGUGAUGAAAUGGAUGACGAUUCACAAUGUUCUAAGAUCUGAUUUCCUUUCACGGUAUGGAGAAAGCAUGAGAAAAAUGUUAUUUUGCAAUGGGGAAAAAAAUGCCAUGGCUCAUUUUUUUUAAUUAAGAAAAUCAUGUGACUAGAUGUCUGUACAGGAGAGAAAAUGAGAAGGAGGGUACCCUGUAAUGUUCAGAUUAAUUGCUUCACAUGAGAGAUGAACGUGUGUUGAAUGAGAAAGAUUUAAAUUUGGUUUUAGGAUGAAACAUCAUGAAAGAGAAAUAAUGACUAUUGUGACUGUGCCUUUAUUUGGAAAAUAAUUCAUUUGUAUUUGUGGACAUCGAUUUUUACAGUAAAGACAAUAUGAUAAGUGCUUCUUUCUUGGGAAAGGGAUGUGAAAAAAAAUAGCAGAUUCCUAUCAACAAAGCUUUUAUAUUUGUUUCUGAAUCGUGCCUGAAAAUGUUUACCCUUUAGUGUCUCCUUGUACCUGGAAAUUGCUUUAGUACAUACGUUUCUGCAAGAAAAAAAGAAAAAAAAAAAGCUGAAGUGCUGGGUCUUUUAUUUCUCUGAAAUUCAGAUUGCUUUGUCAAUAGGAAGCAAAGGAGGAC
rnacentral:lncRNA from 1 species